rnacentral:rRNA from 1 species
AACGCUGGCGGCAGGCUUAACACAUGCAAGUCGAGCGGGCGUAGCAAUACGUCAGCGGCAGACGGGUGAGUAACGCGUGGGAACGUACCUUUUGGUUCGGAACAACACAGGGAAACUUGUGCUAAUACCGGAUAAGCCCUUACGGGGAAAGAUUUAUCGCCGAAAGAUCGGCCCGCGUCUGAUUAGCUAGUUGGUGAGGUAAUGGCUCACCAAGGCGACGAUCAGUAGCUGGUCUGAGAGGAUGAUCAGCCACAUUGGGACUGAGACACGGCCCAAACUCCUACGGGAGGCAGCAGUGGGGAAUAUUGGACAAUGGGGGCAACCCUGAUCCAGCCAUGCCGCGUGAGUGAUGAAGGCCCUAGGGUUGUAAAGCUCUUUUGUGCGGGAAGAUAAUGACGGUACCGCAAGAAUAAGCCCCGGCUAACUUCGUGCCAGCAGCCGCGGUAAUACGAAGGGGGCUAGCGUUGCUCGGAAUCACUGGGCGUAAAGGGUGCGUAGGCGGGUUUUUAAGUCAGGGGUGAAAUCCUGGAGCUCAACUCCAGAACUGCCUUUGAUACUGAAGAUCUUGAGUCCGGGAGAGGUGAGUGGAACUGCGAGUGUAGAGGUGAAAUUCGUAGAUAUUCNCAAGAACACCAGUGGCGAAGGCGGCUCACUGGCCCGG